CCCCUUCUCGGAAUUGAAUUUUUAACAUUGCAAUAAACUUUAUUACUGGCGGUUCAAGGAAGUUUUGUAAGCAAUGGUUGAUGGUGAGGAUAUUGAAAGUUCCAUGGACAAACAAUUCAACGAUAAUGACGGAGGUAAACCGGAUAAAAUGUUUACGUUGAAGAAGUGGAAUGCUGUGGCUAUGUGGAGCUGGGAUGUUGAGUGCGACACUUGCGCUAUUUGCAGAGUUCAAGUAAUGGCUGAGUGACUACCUUUUCUACUGUUAUUUUAUGUUAUACAAAGCUCCGUAAAGAGUUUUUAAUACAUUAUCCGGAAUCAGUUCAAAGAAUUGUGUUAAUAGUAAAUUGUACAUUGUGCCUUGCUGUUAAGAAGAGCUCCACUUGAAUUAUCUACUAGAAUAUUUUGCAAAGAACGUAUAAUAUUUUAUUUUAGACGUUUUCUAUACUUGUUGAGUUUCUGGAAACUCUUUAAAAUUUAUACUCUGUUUCAGAUAGUACCUUUCUUUAAUUAGUAUAAUAUUAUUCGAAUUUUGUACAACUAGGUACCGUAUAUUAUUAUUCUUUAUUUUAAACGGUGUAAUUGUUUUUCAAUAACGGAGAGUAACUUCGGCUGCAACAUAAACCUUUAAACUGCAGAAGGUCACUUAACUGGUGUGUAUACCGAUUACUUUGGCGGAGGGGUAAAAAACCGAAUUUCCGUAUAAAUGGGGUAUGUGCGGAUAGGGGAGCUUCUCCAGAGAAGAAAUAGCCAAAAAUAAUAUAAAAAUAACUUUUAUUUUUUAAAAUAUUCACGAUUAAAAGUUCAAAAAUUUGCACUAAUAACACAUGGUA